GAAAGGUGAGUUCAUGAGCGGUCUCCGUUGCUCUCCUGCUGGGAACUGGCAGUUUGGUAACCGUGAGAAGCUCGUGUCACUUCUUACUGACACAGCGGUCUGUGGCAGCUUUAUCAAGAAUGGCAAUGUAUAAAAGCAGUUGUUCUGGGACCAGACAGCACCUGGAGAAGCUGAGCAGGUCCCUGAGCGGAACCAGCUGUUAUAUUUUGUGACACUGGACUUGGAUAUGA